rnacentral:sRNA from 1 species
ACUACCCUUGGGUAAUAGCGCUUCUCGUCGAAGACGCUAUCAUGGAUUCAUCAAAUUCGUACUGACGGCUGACCACGGAUGUACUGGCAGCCGUCGUCGAUUGAUCAGGAAGGGCCGGUGCGCGUGUCGCCCGGCCCUUUCCUUU